rnacentral:rRNA from 1 species
AUUGAACGCUGGCGGCAGGCCUAACACAUGCAAGUCGAGCGAGCGGCGGACGGGUGAGUAAUGUCUGGGAAACUGCCUGAUGGAGGGGGAUAACUACUGGAAACGGUAGCUCAUACCGCAUACCAUCAGAUGUGCCCAGAUGGGAUUAGCUAGUAGGUGGGGUAACGGCUCACCUAGGCGACGAUUCCUAGCUGGUCUGAGAGGAUGACCAGCCACACGGGAACUGAGACACGGUCCAUACGACUACGGGAGGGAGCAGUGGGGAAUAUGGCACAAGUGGCGGAAGCAUGAGGCAGCGAGGCCGCGCGUGUGACGAAGGCGUUCGGGUUGUAAAGAACUUCCAGCGGGGAGUCGUUACCUGUAGAAGAAGCACCGGCUAACUCCGUGCCAGCCGCCGCGGUAAUGC